rnacentral:rRNA from 1 species
UAUACUACUCUCGGCAACGGAUAUCUCGGCUCUCGCAUCGAUGAAGAACGUAGCGAAAUGCGAUACUUGGUGUGAAUUGCAGAAUCCCGUGAACCAUCGAGUCUUUGAACGCAAGUUGCGCCCGAGGCCUUUCGGUUGAGGGCACGCCUGCCUGGGCGUCACGC